UACGGAGGGGGUUAGCGUUGUUCGGAAUUACUGGGCGUAAAGCGUACGUAGGCGGAUCAGAAAGUAUGGGGUGAAAUCCCAGGGCUCAACCCUGGAACUGCCUCAUAAACUCCUGGUCUUGAGUUCGAGAGAGGUGAGUGGAAUUCCGAGUGUAGAGGUGAAAUUCGUAGAUAUUCGGAGGAACACCAGUGGCGAAGGCGGCUCACUGGCUCGAUACUGACGCUGAGGUACGAAAGUGUGGGGAGCAAACAGG
rnacentral:rRNA from 1 species